GACGAACGCUGGCGGCGUGCUUAACACAUGCAAGUCGAACGGUGAAGGAGAGCUUGCUCUCCGGAUCAGUGGCGAACGGGUGAGUAACACGUGGGCAACCUGCCCCAGACUUCGGGAUAACGCUUCGAAAGAGGUGCUAAUACCGGAUACGAACUCCUUGGGCAUCCUUGGAGUUGGAAAGUUUUUCGGUCUGGGAUGGGCCCGCGGCCUAUCAGCUUGUUGGUGAGGUAACGGCUCACCAAGGCGACGACGGGUAGCCGGCCUGAGAGGGCGACCGGCCACACUGGGACUGAGACACGGCCCGGACUCCUACGGGAGGCAGCAGUGGGGAAUAUUGGACAAUGGGCGCAAGCCUGAUCCAGCCAUGCCGCGUGAGUGAUGAAGGCCUUAGGGUUGUAAAGCUCUUUCAGUGGGGACGAUAAUGACGGUACCCACAGAAGAAGCCCCGGCUAACUUCGUGCCAGCCGCCGCCGUAACAC
rnacentral:rRNA from 1 species